AAAACCCUGACAUUUUUACUAAGCAACUCACUCGGGACCCAUCUCUUCAAGGGAGAGCUGUUCUUUCUUUUUGCCUAUUCAACUUUGCUCCAAACUCAAGUCUGUGUGUGUAGUGUGUGUUCGCGACCUCCGUCUCCUUGACUGUUCGACCAAGAGCCUUGGUUCCCCAGUGAGGAUGCAUGUUCAGAGGCAGACUCCCCCUCUCACACUUUGGGCACUUAACGGUUUUUCUGCUGUCUCAUGGAGUCUGCAAUGGCAAGCUGCUGCUUUCAAAGGGAGCUGUGGCCAAAAAAGAAACAAGGCAGGUAAGAAAUGGG
rnacentral:lncRNA from 1 species